rnacentral:tRNA from 1 species
AUUUUUAGGUAUUACGCCGGAUGAACGGAAAUCAUUGAUGUUGAUUAAUAUGGAAUAAGCUAUUUCU